UGUCCACAGCUUGCCUACAAAGGCCACAGUUCCAAACAAGCCUCCGACUGCAGUUAGGAAUGGGAGGAUGAAUUCUGGAUUGUUCAGAUGUGACAAGAUCUUUCAUCCCCUUUUACAACACAACUGUAAAUUCAAUCUCUUCAACUGCAACAGCAAGCACACCUGUUGAGACAGAUUGUUCUUAUGGGUAUAAACUUUGGGUGCUUGGAGUAGCUGCAGGGAUACCCAGCUUCCUGACAUUGGUUCUUGCAGUCAUGUUGGCAGUGGUCUGUGUUCUCCAGAGGUCAAACUUCAGAUGGAAACGGACAAGUGAAUGUUGUGAAGUACAAGAAGAACAUGAAUAUGAAAAAUCCCCUCCCAGACCUCCCAAUGAUAUAUACCAGAAUGUGCUGGAGGAGACAACAAAUGUCUAUGUAAAUGAAGAUCAAGGAAAACGCUUCGGAACAGGCAUCCAAACACAAGCAAAGGCCCCACGGGUGAAGAAGCUGAGAACAGAACCACCUAUGACAGAAUCCAUUUAUGAAAAUCACCCUCCCUCUUGCUGAGAGAAAAGUGCCAAGUGAUGGCUGGGACCAGAAAUAACAGACAGCAUUUUCAGGACACCAGGGGUCCCACAACUGUGUUUCAAGAACAAGAGUAUUUGUGUGUACUUGAAAUUCUGGAGGGUAGGACAGAGACAUUGUGAGGGGAAAGAACCUGGUUGAGGUUCAGCCUCUGAGUGGCUCAGAGAUACUCUCCUCAUUUGGGGAGUAUGAAAACUCUCUGGGAGAGGUGGCUUUACUGUCCUCCUAUGUUUAACUUACUCUGUUUUAAUAAAGAACAUGUAAGUCCUCUUAGUGAUACAGCUGGAA